CCUGACGGUAGUCGUAUGCUCGUCUCCGAGACUAAGCCAUGCAAGUCCAAGUACACGUCCUUGAACGACGGAAACUGCGAACGGCUCAUUAAAUCAGUUGCGAUCUACUCGGCGUUCCGCGCCGCCGGAUAACCGUAGUAAUUCUAGGGCUAAUACGUGCGAAGCGCCCGAAGCCGCGAGGCGACGGGCGUUCUCGCCGGAUGUAGGAACCGACCCGGGGACCGCCGGGGCAACCCGGCGCCCCCGAGACGGGGCGAACCACGGUGAAAUGACGGAUCGUCGGCCCCGCGCCGGCGACUCGCCGAAUGAGUUUCUGACCUAUCAACUCGAGACGGCGGGGUAGAGGCCCGCCGCGGUAACGACGGGUAACGGGGAAUCAGGGUUCGAUUCCGGAGAGGGAGCCCGAGAAACGGCU
rnacentral:rRNA from 1 species